UCCCCAUCCCUGCCGGCCCCCACCCUCUCCCAAUCCCCUCACCUAAUCUCCUGUGGCCAGUGGAUUCGCCCCUUGGGGUCGAUUCCUCCAAGACGUCGGUCUGGAGGGCCGACCAGGAGCGGCACGUCCCCCGUCAGCGCGUCGGUGGCGACGGCCCCACAGGUUGCUGCUCGCGGUUGGUUGCAAGGAUAGUUGUUGCGGUGGUCAAUUUCUCCUAGAAAGGUAUGUCUUCAACCUCUGGAGAUUUGUCUUUGACUAGCUCCGAGAGGUGUCACGGUCUGAGAGGAUACAGUGGGAUGGCUCCAUCUGCUAGAGUGAUUGGUAGUCUUUUGUUAACUCCCUGCUCAUAACUCCUCAGUUUGUUUUAUAUGUGUGCAUAUGGACAAAUUAGUGGGCAUGAUUUAUAUUUGUGCAUAUGGACAAAUUCGCUGGGAACAGAGUGACCCCUCUCCUUUCCUUCUGUUUGGUUUCACUUUUUGCCAUCAUUUGAUUGGUUGACGGGCACAGAAAGAAAGGGGGGACAAAGUGCUUUUUCCUAAGUUAGUGUUAUAUAUUUUUGUUUGAAUUUUAUUUUACAUGACACGACACCCAGUGGCAUAUAGGAUAUUUUCAGCUAUUUUUUUGGCAAAUGACAAUUAUAGUAAUUAAAUGACCCCAUUAGUAAUAUCUGUUAUCUCUUUAAUUCAGCCUUAUAAAUCAGGACAUGUGAUAAAUGGUGUGCGGAUUUUGAUUUCAGAAUAUUGUUAGCCCAACAUGCAUGAUAUUCGUGCAUUAGCCACAUGUAUGUUAGUCCCAAAAUGUCUUUUUUUGACUAUGGGUGGGACCACUAAAAUAUUUUGAACCACAUCUAAAUUUCACAUUUGCUUCUCUGUUUACAGGACCCACGAUGCAAUUGAUUUCCAAACUAAUAGAUUUGGAAACAAUAAUAGUUUUAGUUUGUUUUUAUUCAACAGUAGUUGCAUAUUCUUUCUACAAUAUGUGCCUGUAAGAAACGUUCAAACCAAAACUGGUGGCUGUAAGAAACGAGUCAUUACUUAACGAGCUAAAGGAAGCGUUAGCUGAUUGUGAAGUGAUGCCAGAAAUUAUUCCUGGGGAGCAAGGUGUCAUAGAGGUCGCUCGACACCCGGAUGCAGUUACAGUCGUUACGGGCAUAGUAGGGUGUGCAGGACUAAAGCCUACAGUUGCAGCAAUUGAAGCUGGGAAAGACAUAGCAUUGGCGAACCAAGAGACGAGCACGCCGAGGGCGAUGACCGCUACCCUGCUCCUCUCCCGGCAAAGGCACGUCUACCUCUCCCGUGAAGAUGUAGCAGAACACACGUUCAUAAUUGAUACACCAAGGCUCAGCUUCUCUAUAUUGAUACGAAGGCCUGGAGCGUGUUUCUUUUGUUUUUUGAUGCAAUGUGAGUCGUCGGAUCUCGCUCAAGAUUGCUCUGGGCCGUUGGAUCAGAUAGAAACAACGCUAUAUCGAUUAUACAUUUGGAGAUCUAGGGAUACAAGCGUGUUCAGGAAAUUAUAUGGGUGAAGACCAAUAGACUUCAACGCAUUAUUCGAACUGGCCGCACUACCCAUUGGUAAGAGCAGGCAGGAGGAGGAAGCAGAGAGGGAGAGGGCGAGGAGAUCCUGGUCUGCACCUUGCGCCUCCCACAAGCUACUGCAACGGGAGAAUCGUAUACCCAAAAUCUUUCUCAAAGCCUACAGCUACUGCCUCCCCAAGCAAUGCCAACCUGCAGCAACAAGAUAAGCUACACUCUAUUUAUGUAUUACAUAUUUCAUUCAACUAUGCCCCUCUCUUUAAUCUUCCCAUUGUGAAUAGGUUAUAUGGUAAUAUAAAUAGCUGAUUUGAUAAUGGAAAAAUCUGAUUUGAUAAUAGAAAUAGCUGGUUUGAUACAAACAUAUUGCUAACUCCUUAGGUGUAAUGUUGUUUAAAAGAUGCCACAGUUGUAUAUUUUUUUUCAUGAGACAAACAUGUAUUUGUUUGUUUGUAGGGUUCAGACUGUGAGGUGAUACCUGGGGAGAGUGUUGUACCCCAGCAUAAGCUGGUGGUUGCUGACUUCCGCUUUCGGAUUCGUGUCCAGCGGGAUAAGCGUGCCAAGGUCGCUAGAACGAAGUGGUG